rnacentral:ncRNA from 1 species
CUAGUAGGUGCCUUAUCUUUGAUAAGGUUAAAAGGGAAGCCGGUGCGAAUCCGGCGCGGUCCCGCCACUGUUAUUCGGGGAUGACCUCGCAGUACCACUGUUCCAAAUCUGGAAUGGGAAGGAGAGGAAGUCACUUAACCCGUAAGCCAGGAAACCUGCCUAUUUAGC